GCCAUACCGGCAGGUCAGAGGCGUCCGGGACCUGCCGCCGGGACGGCCUCCGGAGCCGUGUGCGCAGGUUCGAAUCCUGCCGGGGGUA
rnacentral:tRNA from 1 species